AGCUCCAAUAGCGUAUAUUUAAGUUGUUGCAGUUAAAAAGCUCGUAGUUGGAUUUCUGUUAGGAUCUGUUCGUCCGGCUUUGCUGUGCAUGAUCAGAUUCUGGCAUAUUUCGCGUCGGGCUUGCACUUUACUGUGUGAGCUUGUCCGAAGCUGAUACUUUGAGAAAAUUAGAGUGUUCCAAGCAGGCGUUUGCCUGAAUAUUGCAGCAUGGGAUAUCAAGAUAGGACUCUUGUUCUUUCUUGUUGGUUUCUAGGAACUUGAGUAACGACUAAUAGGGAUAGUUGGGGGCAUUCGUAUUUAACUGUCAGAGGUGAAAUUCUUGGAUUUGUUAAAGACGAACUACUGCGAAAGCAUUUGCCAAGGAUGUUUUCA
rnacentral:rRNA from 1 species